CAAAGUUGGUAUUCGUUAAUCAAUAAUCUGCUUUACACGUCUAGCUUACAGAAAUGAGAGAACAAAAUGAUACAAGCUAUGUGCCACAUCUAUGCAGCAAUCUCUUAUAUCUGUAUUGGUAAUGUUGAAUCCUCUUCAAAGGUUGUUGAUCUCAUUGGACCAAUUUUGAAUGUUUUUGUUGGAGUAAGAGAGAAAACCAGUUGUUCUUGCUCAUGGGUUUCUGUUGAUGAAUGAUGAGACAACAAAAUCUACAAGAAGCUAGCUAGAGUUAGACUAGCUACUGGUUUGCAGACAAGUAUGACAAC